rnacentral:sRNA from 1 species
UCCCGCUAUUUUUUAACAUGAAAUUGUUUGUGCCGUGGUCUACUUUAUUAAUUUUGCCUUCUAAUCGCGUUUAUAUUGAGUAAUAAUAUGAUAGAACUGCGCGUAACGUUUAUUAAAGGUCGUUAACAAGUGCAGCCGUUAAACCUCGAUAAGUUGCAUCGCCUUAAUGUGCGUACAACUCUUUUUAUUACUCCCUGUGGUGCUGCCGGCCAGAAGCGACUACCUGUGCGCUGUUCUCGUGGACUGUGUUUCUAUUGAGCCACCAAUCACAGUAUAUGGAUAAUGUAGAGGAAAAGGCUAUCGCUAUAUUUGCGUACACUGAGGGUUUUUGAAGCAUGUGAAACUGCAGCAACUCCAGUGCACAGCUAUUUAGCAACUGUCCGAUUGAUGGCAGCCAAGCUUAUCUGGUGCUCUGCUGUGCGCCUUUUCAAAUAGCAAAUCAAUAUCGCUGGUCAAGGAGAGUCUGGCCAAGCUGCAGAAAUCGGCAAGUCUUGAGGUGUUUCAGUACUGCAGAAACAUUGAACGGAAUCGCUUAAAAAGGUGAUCAAAGGGAUUAAAAGGCGUCUGAUCAAUGAUUAUAUGCUUCUCGCCAACACAUAUGAUAUGUGCAGUUUAAAGCCGAUGAUCUUAGCAACAAACUGAUCAACUGCCCUGUCUAUGGGUGAACCAUGAGCUGCUUCGCGCUCAAUACAAUUGACGAGCAACAUUUGCCAUCUCUUUGUGGUGUCGUUAAACCCGACAAUGGUUCUCAUGAAACCCAGUGGCUCAUGACGAUUGUUCUCAUGAAACCCAGUGGCUCAUGUUCAAUAUGUAAAUAUAUGACAUUUUCAGCAAUGAUUGGUCCUAUAUGCGCAAUCUGAGAACGCAGGCAGCAUAUAGGCGUCGUUGCCUAGCCCUAAAAAUGUGAUAGUAUGCCACUUUUCUGGCUAUUGUCAACCACGUGCUAUAUAUUGGUGCAAAAGGCUGUCGGCGGUAACGCCACAUUGUGACCACCACGUCCUGGUGGCCAUUGACAGUUGCAUCCAUGCGUGUGCUGGCUGUAAGAAAACGCUGAGGGAGUAAUGCAUGGUUUUACGAGCAAUAUGUGGAACAUGGAGAAAUAUAAAUUAUAACGAAUUCAGUUUCUAAAAUUCAAAUCAAUUUGGAAAUAGGAUCAACGCAUGUUCGUGGCAUUAUUCUAUCAAAGGAUUGGCGAAUACUUUUUGAGCUUCGAAUGUGUAGAUGGCAAACAUGGCCACAUUACAGAUGAGUAGGAAGGU